rnacentral:rRNA from 1 species
UACGUAAAAGACUAGUGUUAUUCAUCUUUAAUAGGUUUAAAGGGUACCUAGACGGUAUUAUUAGCCCUAAUAGGGUACGAUUUUACUAGAGUUUUAUAUGAGAAGGAAGUAUUUAUGGAGGAGAGAUAAAAUUUCAUUAUACCUUAAAGACUGGUAAGGGCGAAAGCAACCUUCUAUCUAAUAACUGACGUUGAGGGACGAAGGCCUGGGUAGCAAACAGG